rnacentral:rRNA from 1 species
AUCUAUAGCUGGUUUGAGAGCAUGAUCAGCAACACUGGGACUGAGACACGGCCCAGACUCCUACGGGAGGCAGCAGUGGGGAAUAUUGCGCAAUGGGCGAAAGCCUGACGCAGCCAUGCCGCGUGUGUGAAGAAGGCCUUAGGGUUGUAAAGCACUUUCAAUUGGGUGGAAGGAUUUAGCGUUAAUAGCGUNAAAUUUGACGUU